AAAAGGCCCUUGUGGAGGAGCGAAGGCAAUCAAGUCUUUUUGAAGAGGAAUCAGGAAAGUCUGAAGUCAAUAUGGGUUUUUUAGACACUGUAUCUUGCACACUGAGUCCAAGACACCCAAUGAACCCCUACGCUGUGCUAGGCUCUGGAGUGGUCAGGUCUCAGCAAACAUGAAAAGUGAGAUAGGAAGCUCCAAAAAAGACACCCAGAAAAAAAAUCCUCCUUCCUGAUCAGAAGCUUCCAUUUAGUGACAAGAAGAAGCCCAUCUGCUGAUGUCAGCAAAGCAGCAUUGGCCUCUGUGCGCUUUCUGAUGUGAGUCCUCUGUAUGAAGUAAGUGGAACAGCUAAACAACUGUGUUUUGCUUUAC
rnacentral:lncRNA from 1 species